rnacentral:lncRNA from 1 species
CAUUUCUAAGACAAGACAGUAAACAACAUGACAUUAAAAGGUAAGCUUUGAUACAGAGCAGAAUACAUGACGAACUUCGUUGCUUACGACUUGUGCUAAACACUCGGCACAACAUCCGCAAGACUAACACUAUUUACAUAAUUAAGCACACCCCACACACACUGUCACAGGACCACACAGAACAUUCUCAACCAGGAAAAUGUCAAGGAUGUCGACUAAAUACAGCCGCCUCAAGAGGGGUAACAAAAAAAGAAAACCCGAUCUAUAUCUUACAGGUCGUAAGGAGGACGAGGACUUCUGGGUCCAACCCCACUAGCAUUCUCGUAUGCAAAUGAUCGCCUACGGGACCAA